rnacentral:rRNA from 1 species
AUUGAACGCUGGCGGCAGGCCUAACACAUGCAAGUCGAACGAGCGGCGGACGGGUGAGUAAUGUCUGGGAAUCUGCCUGAUGGAGGGGGAUAACUACUGGAAACGGUUGCUAAUACCGCAUACUAUCGGAUGUGCCCAGAUGGGAUUAGCUAGUAGGUGGGGUAACGGCUCACCAAGGCGACGAUCCCUAGCUGGUCUGAGAGGAUGACCAGCCACACUGGAACUGAGACACGGUCCAGACUCCUACGGGAGGCAGCAGUGGGGAAUAUUGCACAAUGGGCGCAAGCCUGAUGCAGCCAUGCCGCGUGUAUGAAGAAGGCCUUCGGGUUGUAAAGUACUUUCAGCGGGGAGGCGUUACCCGCAGAAGAAGCACCGGCUAACUCCGUGCCAGCAGCCGCGGUAAUAC